rnacentral:sRNA from 1 species
UACGCCUGCAGUUUAUGAGGAUGAGCACCUCCGCAGGAGGUUCGAGCCUCGCGAAGCGAGACAACGUUGCUUUAGCAACGGCCCGCUGGGCACGUAUCCAGGAUGCGCGUAAUCUUUCUCUCGCCGACCA